GACGAACGCUGGCGGCGUGCCUAAUACAUGCAAGUCGAGCGAGACUCUUCGGAGUCUAGCGGCGGACGGGUGAGUAACACGUGGGCAACCUGCCUGUAAGACUGGGAUAACACCGGGAAACCGGUGCUAAUACCGGAUAAUCCUUUUCCUCUCAUGAGGGAAAGCUGAAAGACGGUUUCGGCUGUCACUUACAGAUGGGCCCGCGGCGCAUUAGCUAGUUGGUGAGGUAACGGCUCACCAAGGAGACGAUGCGUAGCCGACCUGAGAGGGUGAUCGGCCACACUGGGACUGAGACACGGCCCAGACUCCUACGGGAGGCAGCAGUAGGGAAUCUUCCACAAUGGACGAAAGUCUGAUGGAGCAACGCCGCGUGAGCGAUGAAGGCCUUCGGGUCGUAAAGCUCUGUUGUUAGGGAAGAACAAGUACCGGAGUAACUGCCGGUACCUUGACGGUACCUAACCAGAAAGCCACGGCUAACUACGUGCCAGCAGCCGCGGUAA
rnacentral:rRNA from 1 species